AAUACAUGCAAGUCGAACGAAGCUUUCUUUCACCGAAUGCUUGCAUUCACCGAAAGAAGCUUAGUGGCGAACGGGUGAGUAACACGUAGGCAACCUGCCCAAAAGAGGGGGAUAACACUUGGAAACAGGUGCUAAUACCGCAUAACCAUGAACACCGCAUGAUGUUCAUGUAAAAGACGGCUUUUGCUGUCACUUUUGGAUGGGCCUGCGGCGUAUUAACUUGUUGGUGGGGUAACGGCCUACCAAGGUGAUGAUACGUAGCCGAACUGAGAGGUUGAUCGGCCACAUUGGGACUGAGACACGGCCCAAACUCCUACGGGAGGCAGCAGUAGGGAAUCUUCCACAAUGGACGAAAGUCUGAUGGAGCAACGCCGCGUGAAUGAAGAAGGCCUUCGGGUCGUAAAAUUCUGUUGUCAGAGAAGAACGUGCGUGAGAGUAACUGUUCACGUAUUGACGGUAUCUGACCAGAAAGCCACGGCUAACUACGUGCCAGCAGCCGCGGUAAUACGUAGGUGGCGAGCGUUGUCCGGAUUUAUUGGGCGUAAAGGGAACGCAGGCGGUCUUUUAAGUCUGAUGUGAAAGCCUUCGGCUUAACCGAAGUAGUGCAUUGGAAACUGGAAGACUUGAGUGCAGAAGAGGAGAGUGGAACUCCAUGUGUAGCGGUGAAAUGCGUAGAUAUAUGGAAGAACACCAGUGGCGAAAGCGGCUCUCUGGUCUGUAACUGACGCUGAGGUUCGAAAGCGUGGGUAGCAAACAGGAUUAGAUACCCUGGUAGUCCACGCCGUAAACGAUGAGUGCUAAGUGUUGGAGGGUUUCCGCCCUUCAGUGCUGCAGCUAAAG
rnacentral:rRNA from 1 species